rnacentral:rRNA from 1 species
CAGAGGGUGCGAGCGUUAAUCGGAAUUACUGGGCGUAAAGGGUGCGUAGGUGGCUACGUAAGUUAGGUGUGAAAUUCCUGGGCUUAACCUGGGGACUGCGCCUGAUACUGCGAGGCUAGAGUACUGUAGAGGAAGGUGGAAUUUCCAGUGUAGCGGUGAAAUGCGUAGAUAUUGGAAGGAACAUCGGUGGCGAAGGCGACCUUCUGGACAGAUACUGACACUGAGGCACGAAAGCAUGGGGAGCAAACAGGAUUAGAUACCCUGGUAGUCCAUGCUGUAAACGAUGAAGACUGGCUGUUGGAAGCCCUAGGGUUUUUAGUAGCGAAGCUAACGCGUUAAGUCUUCCGCCUGGGGAGUACGGCCGCAAGGUUA